CCUACGGGUGGCUGCAGUGGGGAAUAUUGGACAAUGGGGGCAACCCUGAUCCAGCCAUGCCGCGUGUGUGAAGAAGGCCCUCGGGUUGUAAAGCACUUUCAGUGAGGAAGAACGCCUGGUGGUUAAUACCCAUCAGGAAAGACAUCACUCACAGAAGAAGCACCGGCUAACUCCGUGCCAGCAGCCGCGGUAAUACGGAGGGUGCGAGCGUUAAUCGGAAUUACUGGGCGUAAAGCGCGCGUAGGUGGCUUGAUAAGCCGGUUGUGAAAGCCCCGGGCUCAACCUGGGAACGGCAUCCGGAACUGUCAAGCUAGAGUGCAGGAGAGGAAGGUAGAAUUCCCGGGGUAGCGGUGAAAUGCGUAGAGAUCGGGAGGAAUACCAGUGGCGAAGGCGGCCUUCUGGACUGACACUGACACUGAGGUGCGAAAGCGUGGGUAGCAAACAGGAUUAGAUACCCGUGAGUC
rnacentral:rRNA from 1 species